rnacentral:rRNA from 1 species
AUUGAACGCUGGCGGCAGGCCUAACACAUGCAAGUCGAGCGGAUGAUGGGAGCUUGCUCCUGGAUUCAGCGGCGGACGGGUGAGUAAUGCCUAGGAAUCUGCCUGGUAGUGGGGGACAACGUUUCGAAAGGAACGCUAAUACCGCAUACGUCCUACGGGAGAAAGCAGGGGACCUUCGGGCCUUGCGCUAUCAGAUGAGCCUAGGUCGGAUUAGCUUGUUGGUGAGGUAAUGGCUCACCAAGGCGACGAACCGUAACUGGUCUGAGAGGAUGAUCAGUCACACUGGAACUGAGACACGGUCCAGACUCCUACGGGAGGCAGCAGUGGGGAAUAUUGGACAAUGGGCGAAAGCCUGAUCCAGCCAUGCCGCGUGUGUGAAGAAGGUCUUCGGAUUGUAAAGCACUUUAAGUUGGGAGGAAGGGUUGUAGAUUAAUACUCUGCAAUUUUGACGUUACCGACAGAAUAAGCACCGGCUAACUCUGUGCCAGCCGCCGCCGUAA